UACGUAGGGUGCAAGCGUUGUCCGGAAUUAUUGGGCGUAAAGAGCUCGUAGGCGGUCUGUCGCGUCGGUUGUGAAAUCCCGAGGCUCAACCUCGGGUCUGCAGUCGAUACGGGCAAACUAGAGUAUUGCAGGGGAGACUGGAAUUCCUGGUGUAGCGGUGAAAUGCGCAGAUAUCAGGAGGAACACCGGUGGCGAAGGCGGGUCUCUGGGCAAUAACUGACGCUGAGGAGCGAAAGCGUGGGGAGCGAACAGG
rnacentral:rRNA from 1 species